rnacentral:tRNA from 1 species
GCCUCGGUAGUCUAAUGGCUUAGGACGCUCGUAUGGAAUACAAGAGAUCCGGAUUCGACUCCCAGCCGAGAUA